rnacentral:rRNA from 1 species
CUGCUAAGACUGGAUAGGAGAUAAGAAGGCAUCUUCUUAUUUUUAAAAGACCUAGUAAUAGGUAUGCUUAAGGAAGGGCUUGCGUCACAUUAGUUAGUUGGUAGGGUAAAGGCCUACCAAGACGAUGAUGUGUAGCCGGGCUGAGAGGCUGAACGGCCACAUUGGAACUGAGACACGGUCCAAACUCCUACGGGAGGCAGCAGUAGGGAAUUUUCGGCAAUGGAGGAAACUCUGACCGAGCAACGCCGCGUGAACGAUGAAGUAUUUCGGUACGUAAAGUUCUUUUAUUAAGGAAGAAAAGAUGGUGGAAAAACCAUUAUGACGGUACUUAAUGAAUAAGCCCCGGCUAACUAUGUGCCAGCAGCCGCGGUAAUACAUAGGGGGCGAGCGUUAUCCGGAAUUAUUGGGCGUAAAGGGUGCGUAAGCGGUUUAAUAAGUUUAUGGUCUAAGUGCAAUGCUUAACAUUGUGAUGCUAUAAAAACUGUUUGACUAGAGUUGGAUAGAGGCAAGUGGAAUUCCAUGUGUAGUGGUAAAAUGCGUAAAUAUAUGGAGGAACACCAUGAGCGAAGGCGGCUUGCUGGGUCUUAACUGACGCUGAGGCACGAAAGCGUGGGGAGCAACCAGGAUUAGAUACCCUGGUAGUCCACGCUGUAAACGAUGAGUACUAGACGUUGGGUUAAACCAGUGUCGAAGUUAACACAUUAAGUACUCCGCCUGAGUAGUACGUACGCAAGUAUGAAACUUAAAGGAAUUGACGGGACUCCGCACAAGCGGUGGAUCAUGUUGUUUAAUUCGAAGAUACCCGAAAAACCUCACCAGGUCUUGACAUGCUUCUGCAAAGCUGUAGAAAUACAGUGGAGGUUAUCAGUUGUACAGGUGGUGCAUGGUUGUCGUCAGCUCGUGUCGUGAGAUGUUGGGUUAAGUCCCGCAACGAGCGCAACCCUUGUUGUUAAUUGCCAUCAUUAAGUUGGGGACUUUAGCAAGACUGCCAGUGAUAAAUUGGAGGAAGGUGGGGAUGACGUCAAAUCAUCAUGCCCCUUAUGACCUGGGCUACAAACGUGAUACAAUGGCUGUUACAAAGGGUAGCUGAAGCGCAAGUUUUUGGCAAAUCUCAAAAAAACAGUCUCAGUUCGGAUUGAAGUCUGCAACUCGACUUCAUGAAGUUGGAAUCGCUAGUAAUCGCGAAUCAGCAUGUCGCGGUGAAUACGUUCUCGGGGUUUGUACACACCGCCCGUCAAA